CCUGAGUACGACGGAGCACGUGAAAUUCCGUCGGAAUCUGGGAGGACCAUCUCCUAAGGCUAAAUACUCUCUAGUGACCGAUAGUGAACCAGUACCGUGAGGGAAAGGUGAAAAGUACCCCGGAAGGGGAGUGAAAGAGAACUUGAAACCGUGUGCUUACAAGUAGUCAGAGCCCGUUAAUGGGUGAUGGCGUGCCUUUUGUAGAAUGAACCGGCGAGUUACGAUCUGAUGCAAGGUUAAGCAGAAAAUGUGGAGCCGUAGCGAAAGCGAGUCUGAAUAGGGCGAAUGAGUAUUUGGUCGUAGACCCGAAACCAGGUGAUCUACCCUUGGUCAGGUUGAAGUUCAGGUAACACUGAAUGGAGGACCGAACCGACUUACGUUGAAAAGUGAGCGGAUGAACUGAGGGUAGCGGAGAAAUUCCAAUCGAACUUGGAGAUAGCUGGUUCUCUCCGAAAUAGCUUUAGGGCUAGCCUCAAGUGAUGAUUAUUGGAGGUAGAG
rnacentral:rRNA from 1 species